rnacentral:rRNA from 1 species
ACCGGAGGAAGGUGGGGAUGACGUCAAGUCCUCAUGGCCCUUAUGCCCAGGGCUACACACGUGCUACAAUGGCGGCUACAAUGGGCUGCAACAUCGCGAGGUGAAGCCAAUCCCAAAAAAGCCGCCUCAGUUCGGAUUGGAGUCUGCAACCCGACUCCAUGAAGCCGGAAUCGCUAGUAAUCGGAGAUCAGAACGCUCCGGUGAAUACGUUCCCGGGCCUUGUACACACCGCCCGUCACACCAUGGGAGUCGGAUGCUCCAGAAGUGGCUGAGCUAACCCGCAAGGGAGGCAGGUCCCUAAGGAGUGUCCGGUAACUGGGGUGAAGUCGUAACAAGGUAGCCGUAGGGGAACCUGCGGCUGGAUCACCUCCUUU